rnacentral:tRNA from 1 species
GCACCGGUAGUAUAAUGGCCAGUAUUCCGGCCUUCCAAGCCGGCUGUCCGGGUUCGAAUCCCGGCCGGUGCA